AACUAGGAGGCAAGCAUGCCUUCUCCAAGCAUGACCAAGCAGAGAACGAGCAGUGUGAAAAUUUUUGGGGUCGAAUUGUGCCCUGACAAUGUGGCUGUUGCCAUGGUAUUUUGUUCAAGGUGUCCUAGGCCUUGCAGGGCUUGCUGUCGGUUUUUAUCUUUCCAUUUAAAAGACGAUUUGCAUCUCGACCUGGCUGAGUGAAUCGUACAGAUCAAUUAAAUUCUGGGCGGCGAAUCUUCACCAUUGAUGAAAUUGUGUUUCUAUGUUUAACUUCUACAGGUGCGUCCUCUGUAUAUUUCUAUAAUUUCAAUUUCUCAAAUCGCUAUUGUUUAUUAGAUUUUACUUUCGAUAUGGUUACUAUUGUUUAUGGUUUAUAAAAAAAAUCUUUGUUUAUGCUAUUGGUUUGGUUAAUCUUGUAUAGUAUGUAUUUGCAGAAUUAUACGCAGUGGCUCUAUUUAGUAGGUUCAUAAUCUAAUCAUGUGUUUAUCUUUUCUCAAAGGACCCCUCUUAUUAUAAUUUUGUCUAGAGUUCAAUUGCAAAGGAAUGCAUGAGUAGAAAGGUUUAGAGGCAGAAACUCUAUUUACUUUUCUUGAUUGAGAUCAAAUGUAUACUUCCACCUAUACGAGUACAAUAUUUUUUUUUUCUUGUGAUCCAUAUGCUUAUGUCCAUGCAAAUAGAGAGAGGCAGCAAUUGCUGAGGCUCAAGUAUUAGGGGCAGUAGUUCACUCUCAAGGUCCUUUGUUUGGAGAUGUUCAAAGAAAUCUGAAGUCUUCAAGUGUUCUUGUUAUUGGAGACCUAUUUGAUGCUUUGUGGAUAGUUUGAUAUUUCUAGUACAACUCGUCGUUAGCUUUAGUGUGCAGUUUGCAAUAUUUGAUUUUGUGAUUUCUUUAUGUAAUUAUUGUAUUGUAGUAAAUUUGUUUAUAUAUUAAAUGAUUUAUUAUUAUUAUUAUUUGA